rnacentral:rRNA from 1 species
UACGUAGGGGGCAAGCGUUGUCCGGAUUUAUUGGGCGUAAAGAGCGUGUAGGCGGCCAGGUAGGUCCGUUGUGAAAACUCGAGGCUCAACCUCGAGACGCCGAUGGAAACCAUCUGGCUAGAGUCCGGAAGAGGAGAGUGGAAUUCCCGGUGUAGCGGUGAAAUGCGCAGAUAUCGGGAAGAACACCCGUGGCGAAGGCGGCACUCUCGGGACGGUAACUGGACGCUGAGACGCGAAAGCGUGGGGAGCGAACAGG